rnacentral:misc_RNA from 1 species
GAAAUGCGAUAAGUAAUGUGAAUUGCAGAAUUCAGUGAAUCAUCGAGUCUUCGAACGCACAUUGCGCCCCCUGGUAUUCCGGGGGGCAUGCCUGUCCGAGCGUCAUUGCUGCCCUCAAGCCCGGCUUGUGUGUUGGGCCUCGUCCCCCCUCCGGGGGACGGGCCCGAAAGGCAGCGGCGGCACCGUGUCCGGUCCUCGAGCGUAUGGGGCUUUGUCACCCGCUCUGUAGGCCCGGCCGGCGCCUUAGCCGACGACACAAUCUUUUUUUUCAGGUUGACCUCGGAUCAGGUAGGGAUACCCGCUGAACUUAA